rnacentral:rRNA from 1 species
CCUACGGGUGGCAGCAGUGAGGAAUAUUGGUCAAUGGGCGGGAGCCUGAACCAGCCAAGUCGCGUGAGGGAUGACGGCCCUAUGGGUUGUAAACCUCUUUUGCCGGGGAGCAAAGUGCCGCACGUGUGCGGUUUGGAGAGUACCCGGAGAAAAAGCAUCGGCCAACUCCGUGCCAGUAGCCGCGGUUAUACGGAGGAUGCGAGCGUUAUCCGGAUUUAUUGGGUUUAAAGGGAGCGUAGAUGGGUUGUUAAGUUAGUUGUGAAAGUUUGCGGGUCAACCGUAAAAUUGCAAUUGAUACUGGGAGUCUUGAGUACAGGUGAGGUAGGCGGAAUUCGUGGUGUAGCGGUGAAAUGCUUAGAUAUCACGAAGAACCCCGAUUGCGAAGGCAGCUUACUAAACUGUGACUGACAUUGAGGCUCGAAAGUGUGGGUAUCAAACAGGAUUAGAUACCCUGGUAGUC